rnacentral:rRNA from 1 species
CCUACGGGGGGCAGCAGUAGGGAAUCUUCCACAAUGGGCGAAAGCCUGAUGGAGCAACGCCGCGUGGGUGAAGAAGGUCUUCGGAUCGUAAAACCCUGUUGUUCGAGAAGAAAGUGCGUGAGAGUAACUGUUCACGUUUCGACGGUAUCUAACCAGAAAGCCACGGCUAACUACGUGCCAGCAGCCGCGGUAAUACGUAGGUGGCAAGCGUUAUUCGGAUUUAUUGGGCGUAAAGGGAACGCAGGCGGUCUUUUAAGUCUGAUGUGAAAGCCGUCGGCUUAACCGGAGUAGUGCAUUGGAAACUGGGAGACGUGAGUGCAGGAGAGGAGAGUGGAACUCCAUGUGUAGCGGUGAAAUGCGUAGAUAUAUGGAAGAACACCAGUGGCGAAAGCGGCUCUCUGGUCUGUAACUGACGCUGAGGUUCGAAAGCGUGGGUAGCAAACAGGAUUAGAUACCCCUGUAGUC